UAAGUUUUCAUGUUAAAAAUUUCUGUUUGUUAAAUGAAUCAAAAAUAGAUUCAUUCUCUAUUUAUUGUGUCAAUGUUUGAGGAACACCAAGGACAUAGUCUGUUUUCCCAGUAGAAAUUAAAUAACUGUAUUUAGUCAUGUAUACUUACCUGAGAUUUGUCAUUUUAAUUUUUAUUUUUUAAGGAGCUGAUGCUACACACAUGGAUGGUGAUCAGAUUGUUGUGGAAGUACAAGAAGCAGUUUUUGUUUCUAAUAUUGUGGAUUCAGACAUAACUGUGCAUAACUUUGUUCCUGAUGACCCAGACUCAGUUGUAAUCCAAGAUGUUAUUGAAGAUGUUGUCAUAGAGGAGGAUGUUCAGUGCUCAGAUAUCUUAGAAGAGGCAGAUGUAUCUGAAAAUGUCAUCAUUCCUGAGCAAGUGGUGGACUCAGAUGUAACUGAAGAAGUUUCUUUACCACACUGCACAGUCCCAGAUGAUGUUUUAGCUUCUGACAUUACUUCAGCCUCAAUGUCUAUGCCAGAACAUGUUUUAACGAGUGAAUCCAUGCAUGUGUGUGACAUUGGACAUGUUGAACAUGUGGUCCAUGAUAGUGUAGUGGAAGCAGAAAUCAUUACUGAUCCUCUGACCAGUGACAUAGUUUCAGAAGAAGUGUUGGUAGCAGACUGUGCCCCUGAAGCAAUCAUAGAUGCCAGCGGGAUCUCAGUGGACCAGCAAGAUAAUGACAAAGCCAACUGUGAGGACUACCUAAUGAUUUCGUUGGAUGAUGCUGGCAAAAUAGAACAUGAUGGUUCCACUGGAGUGACCAUCGAUGGAGAAUCAGAAAUGGAUCCUUGUAAAGUGGAUGGCACUUGUCCUGAAGUCAUCAAGGUGGGACUGUAGACAUUGUGGAGAGUGAGCCUGAAAAUGAUCAUGGAGUUGAACUACUUGAUCAGAACAGCAGUAUUCGUGUUCCCAGGGAAAAGAUGGUUUAUAUGACUGUCAGUGACUCUCAACAAGAAGAUGAAGAUUUAAGUAUGUGGUUUUUUUUUUAAAAAAUUUUACUUUAAGUUCUGGGAUACAUGUGCUGAAUGUGCAGGUUUGUUACAUAGGUAUGCAUGUGCCAUGGUGGUUUGCUGCACCUAUCAACCCAUCUUCUAGGUUUUUAAGCCCACCAUCCAUUAGGUAUUUGUCUUAAUGCUCUCCCUUCCCUUGCACUCCACCCCACAACAGGCCCCAGUGUGUGAUGUUCCCCUCCUUGUGUCCAUGUGUCCUCAUUGUUUAACUCCCACUUAUGAGUGAGAACAUGUGGUGUUUGGUUUUCUAUUCUUGUGUUAAUUUGCUGAGGAUGGUGGUUUCCAGCUCUGUGGCUUUUUUUGUGGAAGAGGGUUUUAUCUUUCUAUAAAUAGUGUUUUUUGUUUUUGUUUUUUUGAGACAGAGUCUUAUUCUGUCGCCAGGCUGGAGUGCAGUGGCGCAAUCUCAGCUCACUGCAACUUCCACCUCCCAAGUUCCUGCCUCAGCCUCUCAAGUAGCUGAGACUACAGGCACGCACCACCACACCCAGCUAAUUUUUGUAUUUUUAGUAGAGAUGAGGGUUUCACCAUGUUGGCCAGGAUGGUCUCGAUCUCUUGACCUCAUGAUCCGCCCACCUUGGUCUCCCAAAGUGCUGGGAUUACAGGCAUGAGCCACUGUGCCCUGCCCAAGCUGGUUUUUUUUUUUUUUUUUUUUUUAAUGUAACCAAUAUUUGAAAAAAAAAGCAACACUGCUUUAGAGAUUACUAUAUUGCCAUAUUCCAAGGAAAUAUAUCAGUGACUAUGUAUGUUUUCAUUGUUGCUUUAUAAGCU
ensembl:lincRNA